rnacentral:rRNA from 1 species
GAUGAACGCUGGCGGCGUGCCUAACACAUGCAAGUCGAACGGAGUUUUUAUUGAUUUCUUCGGAUUGAUAUAGAAACUUAGUGGCGGACGGGUGAGUAACACGUGGGUAACCUGCCUUACAGAGGGGAAUAGCAGCUGGAAACGGCUGAUAAUACCGCAUAAGCACACAGUACCGCAUGGUACAGGGUGAAAAGAUUUAUCACUGUAAGAUGGACCCGCGUCUGAUUAGCCAGUUGGCAGGGUAACGGCCUACCAAAGCGACGAUCAGUAGCCGGACUGAGAGGGUGACCGGCCACAUUGGGACUGAGACACGGCCCAA